rnacentral:rRNA from 1 species
GACGAACGCUGGCGGCGUGCUUAACACAUGCAAGUCGAACGGAAAGGCCCCUUUGGGGGUACUCGAGUGGCGAACGGGUGAGUAACACGUGAGUAACCUGCCCUUGACUUCGGGAUAACUUCAGGAAACUGGGGCUAAUACCGGAUAGGAAUCCUUGCUGCAUGGUGGGGGUUGGAAAGCUUCGGCGGUUUUGGAUGGACUCGCGGCUUAUCAGCUUGUUGGUGGGGUAGUGGCUUACCAAGGCUUUGACGGGUAGCCGGCCUGAGAGGGCGACCGGCCACAUUGGGACUGAGAUACGGCCCAGACGCCUACGGGGGGCAGCAGUGGGGAAUAUUGCACAAUGGGCGGAAGCCUGAUGCAGCAACGCCGCGUGCGGGAUGACGGCCUUCGGGUUGUAAACCGCUUUCAGCAGGGGCGAAGCUUGUGGUGACGGUACCUGCAGAAGAAGCACCGGCUAACUACGUG